rnacentral:misc_RNA from 1 species
AACGCACCUUGCGCUCCUUGGUAUUCCGAGGAGCAUGCCUGUUUGAGUGUCAUUAAAUUCUCAACCCCGAUCGGAUUUGUUUUCGAUUCGGAGGCUUGGAUUGUGGAGCGUGCUGGCCCCUACCCGGGUCGGCUCCUCUCAAAUGCAUUCGCGGAAUUGACUUUGGUCCGUUUCGGUCAUCAGUGUGAUAAUCAUGUUGCGCUGUUGGCUAGGAUCGAGGUGCCGCAUACAAUGGUCUUCGGACAACUCUAUAUCAAUUUGACCUCAAAUCAGGUAGGACUACCCGCUGAACUUAA